UCACUGAGCCACAAGGUACUUACCAUGAAGUGCCACUGGGUCAUCUUCCUGAUAGUAGUUGUUACAGGGGUCAACUCAAAUGUCCAGCUGCAGCAGUCUGGGUCUGAGCUUGUAGGUCCAGGGACAUCAGUGAAGUUGUCCUGCAAAGCUUCUGGUUGCACCUCUAUUAACUACUUUAUGCACUGGGUGAAGCCAAGGCCUGAAGAUGGGCUGGAGUGGAUUGGAAUGAUUGACCCUGAGAAUGAUAAUCAAAUAUGUACUCAGAAGUUCCAGGGCAAGACCACUCUGACUGUAGACACAUCCUCCAACACAGCCUACAUGCAGCUGAGCGGCUGACAUCUGAGGACACUGCCAUCUAUUACU